UGACUGAUAGCUCAGUCGGUAAAGUAUGAGGCUCUUAAUCUCAGAGUUGUGGUUUUGAGCCCCAUGCUGGGCAA